rnacentral:rRNA from 1 species
GGGAUUCGAUUAGAGUUUGAUUAUGGCUCAGAGCGAACGCUGGCGGCAGGCCUAACACAUGCAAGUCGAGCGCCCCGCAAGGGGAGCGGCAGACGGGAGAGUAACACGUGGGAACGUACCCUUUGGUUCGGAACAACCCAGGGAAACUUGGGCUAAUACCGGAUAAGCCCUUACGGGGAAAGAUUUAUCGCCGAAAGAUCGGCCCGCGUCUGAUUAGCUAGUUGGUGAGGUAACGGCUCACCAAGGCGACGAUCAGUAGCUGGUCUGAGAGGAUGAUCAGCCACAUUGGGACUGAGACACGGCCCAAACUCCUACGGGAGGCAGCAGUGGGGAAUAUUGGACAAUGGGCGCAAGCCUGAUCCAGCCAUGCCGCGUGAGUGAUGAAGGCCCUAGGGUUGUAAAGCUCUUUUGUGCGGGAAGAUAAUGACGGUACCGCAAGAAUAAGCCCCGGCUAACUUCGUGCCAGCAGCCGCGGUAAUACGAAGGGGGCUAGCGUUGCUCGGAAUCACUGGGCGUAAAGGGUGCGUAGGCGGGUCUUUAAGUCAGGGGUGAAAUCCUGGAGCUCAACUCCAGAACUGCCUUUGAUACUGAAGAUCUUGAGUUCGGGAGAGGUGAGUGGAACUGCGAGUGUAGAGGUGAAAUUCGUAGAUAUUCGCAAGAACACCAGUGGCGNNNNCGGCUCACUGGCCCGAUACUGACGCUG